UAGCGAGACUGCCGGUAAUAAACCCGGAGGAAGGUGGGGAGUGACGUCAAAUCAUCAUGCCCCUUAUGACCUGGGCUACACACGUGCUACAAUGGUUGGUACAACGAGUUGCGAGUCGGUGACGGCGAGCUAAUCUCUUAAAGCCAAUCUCAGUUCGGAUUGUAGGCUGCAACUCGCCUACAUGAAGUCGGAAUCGCUAGUAAUCGCGGAUCAGCAUGCCGCGGUGAAUACGUUCCCGGGCCUU
rnacentral:rRNA from 1 species